UACGCCUGCCACCAUCUUCCUCCUUGUCCCUCUUUCUCGUUGCUGUGGUCUACUGUGGAGGCGUGGAGUGCUGAUCCUAGAUCCUACCCACACUCUUUCCGAAGCAGUCCCCGUAUCCCCUCGCGCCAUUUCCGAAUCAUUUCGCCGAAUCUCGGCGUCUCCACCACAUUAACGCCAUGCAUCCACCGGAUCCGACCAUCGGCUUCUACGGCAAUGCGCGCUGAUGCGACCAUAACGGCCUCACGCUCCAUGGAUUCUUAUUUUGUUGCACGGCUUUUGUGGCGUCUGCUUGCCGUCCUGAAAUGCCUGCGCGGGCCGGGCGCACGGGAGGUGUUCGACAGAUUGGCCAAACGGGACAGCACGUUCGACGUGCCGCGAAUUUCCUCCGCGAGUCUGCAUCGACGACGAUCAGAAGGAAUCCUGUGGUUUGGAUGUCAAUCAUGGAUAACUGAGGGCUGCGACCCGUGUUCAGUGCGAUGCCUGACAGACAUCUGUUCGCGUUUCAGGAGGCUGUUGGCGUAAUGCUUGGCACAAGCUGGCAUUUCUGGAGCAUAUGUGAGGGAAGACUCACCAUGUUUGGAAGGGAUGCUGCUAGGAUGACGCCGCAGUUCCAUCUCCGCCGUAAAUAAGGUCACUGGUGUGAACCCACCAGCAGAAACUGAGCAGAAUGGCUGCAAUUGCUACAUAAGGCCAUGAAGCACCGUGCGGUAUCAUAGAGACCAAUGAAGAAGCUCGAUAGCGUGGAAUAAGCAAAUUGCACUGCUUCACUAUCUGUUAACUGUGGCAUGAAUCCAUCAAUUAGUUUUGUUUAGAGGUUUAUCCCAUUAUCUCCCCCAGGCUUGUAUGCAACUGAACAAGCAUUUGUCAGUUGUGGACUGGAAGUAGUGAAUUUUCACCCACCAGGUUUCAGCUGACCAUGCUGCAGUUUAUUUACAUCCAGGAGGCUGUUGGCGUAAAGCUUGGCAUAGGCUGGCAUUUGAGACAGAACGCAUCUGGGGACUGACUUGGUUUGUGUUUAACGAACUGCCCGGAUGGACUGCACAUGUGGUUCUCCGUGAAGUGCCUCUUGGAGGCUAUAUGCUUUAUGGAGUCUUGUGCAAGAUCAAUCAUUCUGGAUCUGCAGAUGGUAAUCCCAUGGCUUGCUGGUCUAUCCUAUGGUGGAUUGUGCACAGCUGCAUUCAGUAGAAUACCCGAGAUGGACUGCACAUGUGGUUCUCGGUGAAGAGCCUCUUGGUGGCUACGCUUUAUGGAGUCUUGUGCAGGAUCAAUCAUUCUGGAAGGCAUACCCGCUGGCAUGCUGAUCUAUCUCGCCGUGGAACAUGCAUGUCUGUGUCUCAGUAGAAUAUCUGAGGUACAUGCUACGAUGCCUGGUACUCCCUCCGUCCCGAAAUAAGUAUCUUUGAUUUAGUACAACUUUGUACUAAAUCAAAGGCACUUAUUUUGGGACGGAGGGAGUACUUGUCUGGCUUUACAAUUAUCUCAUGUCAUUCUGUCCAUCAUGGUUCAUGAGGCUGCUUGUACAAGCUUCUCUGCCUUCUUUUUAUUCUAUCGUUGGGAGUUGUUCUUAAAUACUUGCCAAGAAAAUUUGAGCAAACUAAAGGUCCUCAUCACUUGUCAUGUCAAGGAACAAAAUUGGAGCACAAAAUAA